rnacentral:rRNA from 1 species
UACGUAGGGUGCAAGCGUUGUCCGGAGUUAUUGGGCGUAAAGAGCUCGUAGGCGGCUUGUCGCGUCGUCUGUGAAAACCCGCAGCUCAACUGCGGGCUUGCAGGCGAUACGGGCAGGCUAGAGUUCGGUAGGGGAGACUGGAAUUCCUGGUGUAGCGGUGAAAUGCGCAGAUAUCAGGAGGAACACCGGUGGCGAAGGCGGGUCUCUGGGCCGAUACUGACGCUGAGGAGCGAAAGCGUGGGGAGCGAACAGG